GAUGAACGCUGGCGGCGUGCCUAAUACAUGCAAGUCGAACGGAAAGGCCUCUUCGGAGGUACUCGAGUGGCGGACGGCUGAGUAACGCGUAGGAAUGUACCCCAAAGUGAGGAAUAACUGCACGAAAGGGUAGCUAAUACCGCAUGUGCUCUAAGGAGUAAAGCUUCGGCGCUUUGGGAACAGCCUGCGUAAGAUUAGCUUGUUGGUGAGGUAAUGGCUCACCAAGGCGACGAUCUUUAGCUGGUCUGAGAGGAUGAUCAGCCAGACUGGGACUGAGACACGGCCCAGACUCCUACGGGAGGCAGCAGUAGGGAAUUUUCCACAAUGGACGAAAGUCUGAUGGAGCAACGCCGCGUGCAGGAUGAAGGCCCUUGGGUUGUAAACUGCUUUUCUAUGUGAAGAAAAUGACGGUAGCAUAUGAAUAAGGAUCGGCUAACUCCGUGCCAGCCGCCGCCGUAA
rnacentral:rRNA from 1 species